CUAUGCGCCUUGCCAGCCGCUCAGUGUGCCAGCAGCCGCGGUAAUACGUAGGGGCAAGCGUUAUCCGGAUUUACUGGGUGUAAAGGGAGCGUAGACGGCAGUGCAAGUCUGGAGUGAAAGGCGGGGGCUCAACCCCCGGACUGCUCUGGAAACUGUACAGCUGGAGUGCAGGAGAGGUAAGUGGAAUUCCUAGUGUAGCGGUGAAAUGCGUAGAUAUUAGGAGGAACACCAGUGGCGAAGGCGGCUUACUGGACUGUAACUGACGUUGAGGCUCGAAAGCGUGGGGAGCAAACAGG
rnacentral:rRNA from 1 species